rnacentral:tRNA from 1 species
CAUUAGGUGACUGAAAAUAAGUAAUGAUCUCUUAAAUCAUAAAUAGUAUAUUAAUAAAUACUCCUAAUGA